UACAGAGGUCUCAAGCGUUGUUCGGAUUCAUUGGGCGUAAAGGGUGCGUAGGCGGCGCGGUAAGUCGGGUGUGAAAUUUCGAGGCUUAACUUCGAAACUGCAUUCGAUACUGCCGUGCUUGAGGACUGGAGAGGAGACUGGAAUUUACGGUGUAGCGGUGAAAUGCGUAGAUAUCGUAAGGAAGACCAGUGGCGAAGGCGGGUCUCUGGACCGUAACUGACGCUGAGGAGCGAAAGCGUGGGGAGCGAACAGG
rnacentral:rRNA from 1 species